rnacentral:lncRNA from 1 species
AAGCUAUAUAAUUUCAUUAGCAAGGAUUCAUCUUCUCCCAGUCUAUCAUUCAUCUGGGAGACAUCAGAAGUGAGCAACUCACAAGAUAUAUUUGGAUACUUGUAUCUGAUCUUUUCAUCCAUGUCUUGAGGUGGUUCUUCUAUAAUGAAUGAGACUAAAUCUUCGAGACAUUCUGCUUUUAACAGAAACUCUAUAAGUUUGCGGUUCUGAGCUUUACAUUCCUGUAAAACAUCUUCCUCAUCCAUUAACUCCUUCAGUGUUACAUCUUCU